rnacentral:rRNA from 1 species
UAUAACCGGCGAUUUCCGAAUGGGGAAACCCAGUGUGACUCGUCACACUAUCAUUAACUGAAUCCAUAGGUUAAUGAGGCGAACCGGGGGAACUGAAACAUCUAAGUACCCCGAGGAAAAGAAAUCAACCGAGAUUCCCCCAGUAGCGGCGAGCGAACGGGGAGGAGCCCAGAGCCUGAAUCAGCAUGUGUGUUAGUGGAAGCGUCUGGAAAGGCGCGCGAUACAGGGUGACAGCCCCGUACACAAAAGCGCAUGUGCUGUGAGCUCGAUGAGUAGGGCGGGACACGUGGUAUCCUGUCUGAAUAUGGGGGGACCAUCCUCCAAGGCUAAAUACUCCUGACUGACCGAUAGUGAACCAGUACCGUGAGGGAAAGGCGAAAAGAACCCCGGCGAGGGGAGUGAAAAAGAACCUGAAACCGUGUACGUACAAGCAGUGGGAGCCCCACCACCAAAGCAUUCUCUGGUGUUGAAGGCCCUGCAAAGCAGCAUCGCGGUGGCGGAGCGUCGUUUGCGACGCCCAACACACAAAACAAGCGGUGAGUGCUUUGGGGUGGGGUGACUGCGUACCUUUUGUAUAAUGGGUCAGCGACUUAUAUUCUGUAGCAAGGUUAACCGAAUAGGGGAGCCGGAGGGAAACCGAGUCUUAAUUGGGCGUUAAGUUGCAGGGUAUAGACCCGAAACCCGGUGAUCUAGCCAUGGGCAGGUUGAAGGUUGGGUAACACUAACUGGAGGACCGAACCGACUAAUGUUGAAAAAUUAGCGGAUGACCUGUGGCUGGGGGUGAAAGGCCAAUCAAACCGGGAGAUAGCUGGUUCUCCCCGAAAGCUAUUUAGGUAGCGCCUCGUGAAUUCAUCUCCGGGGGUAGAGCACUGUUUCGGCUAGGGGGCCAUCCCGGCUUACCAACCCGAUGCAAACUGCGAAUACCGGAGAAUGUUAUCACGGGAGACACACGGCGGGUGCUAACGU